CUGAGAGGUUGAAACGGCCACAUUGGGACUGAGACACGGCCCAGACUCCUACGGGAGGCAGCAGUGGGGGAUAUUGCGCAAUGCGGGAAACCCUGACGCAGCAACGCCGCGUGAAGGAUGAAGGUCUUCGGAUUGUAAACUUCUUUUAUUAAGGACGAAGAAAGUGACGGUACUUAAUGAAUUAAGCUCCGGCUAAUUACGUGC
rnacentral:rRNA from 1 species